UCAAGUUAGUAAGGGCAUACGGUGGAUGCCUAGGCGCCAAGAGCCGAAGAAGGACGCGGUAAGCUGCGAAAAGUCAUGGGGAGCCGCAAGCAGGCCCUGAUCCAUGAGUCUCCGAAUGGGGGAACCCAAUGGUGGUCAUGCACCAUUACCUAACGCAAGUUAGGGGGGCACCCGGGGAACUGAAACAUCUAAGUACCCGGAGGAAAAGUAAUCAAACGAGAUUCCCUAAGUAGCGGCGAGCGAACGGGGAAGAGCCCAAACCUGUUUGGAUGUUGGAGUUUAGACAUUGGACAUUGGAUAAAAGGAACGUAAAAUAUUCUUAGACUUCCAACAUCUAAAAUCUAACAUCCAACAUCCAAACAGGGGUUGAGGACUGGCAACAAUCAAACCAGGCUUAGCCGAAGCAUCUGGAAAGAUGAGUCGCAGAAGGUAACAACCCUGUAGGCGAAAAGCAGAGUUUGAGGGUCAGAAUCCAGAGUACCACGGGACACGAGGAACCCUGUGGGAAGCAGGGGGGACCACCCUCCAAGGCAAAAUACUCGUGGCGACCGAUAGCGCAUAGUACCGUGAGGGAAAGGUGAAAAGCACCCCGGGAGGGGAGUGAAAGAGAACCUGAAACCGUAUGCCUACAAGCAGUCGAAGGCCCGUAUGCGGCUGACGGCGUGCCUAUUGAAGAAUGAACCGGCGAGUUACAGUAUCCAGCAAGGUUAAGUGGCAGACACGGAGCCGAAGCGAAAGCGAGUCUAAAGAGGGCGAGAGUUGGAUAUUGUAGACCCGAAACCGCAGUGAUCUAUCCAUGGCCAGGUUGAAGCGCAGGUAAAAAUGCGUGGAGGACCGAACCCGUGAGCGUUGAAAAGCUUUGGGAUGAGUUGUGGAUAGGGGUGAAAUGCCAAUCGAACGCGGAGAUAGCUGGUUCUCCCCGAAAUAGCUUUAGGGCUAGCCUCAGGAAAUUAAGUACAGACGGUAGAGCACUGAUAGGGCUAGGGGCCUAAUGGGUUACUGAACCUUGUCAAACUACGAAUGGAUGUACUCGAACCCUGGGAGUCAGACUACGAGUGAUAAGACCCGUGGUCAAGAGGGAAACAGCCCAGACCAUCAGCUAAGGUCCCGAAUGCCGUACUAAGUGGCAAAGGAUGUGGAGAUACAAAAACAACCAGGAUGUUGGCUUAGAAGCAGCCACCAUUGAAAGAGUGCGUAAUAGCUCACUGGUCGAGUGUCGCUGCGCCGAAGAUGUCCGGGGCUAAAGUACGGAACCGAAGCUAUGGCUUUUUGGAUGUUGGACUUUGGACAUUGGACGUUAGAAAAAGGACGUGUAUAAGGUGUCAUAUGAGAACUUAGAAAUAUAUAAGUUAGCCUAUGAGAUGGCCAUAAAAAUACACAAGCUAACGACAAAAUUUCCAAAGCAUGAAACCUAUGAGAUAGGAAGUCAAAUGAGAAGAGCGGCUGUAUCAGUAGUGCUAAACAUAGCAGAAGGAUAUGGACGGAAAGAACAUCAACAAGAUUUCAGGAACUUCCUAAUCACAGCAGUAGGAUCAUGCAAUGAGACGACUGUUUUAAUAAAAAUGGUGAAAGAUUUAGGAUAUAUAAGCCAAGAAGAAAGUAGAGAAAUACUUAAUUCGUAUGAACGGCUGGGAAAACAAACAAGCAAGUUCAUUCAGGCGAUAAAAGAUCCAAAAUCCAGCGUCUGAAGUCCAACAUCCAAAAGGGGUAGGGGAGCGUUCUAUACCCGGAGAAGGUAUACCGUAAGGAGUGCUGGAGAGUAUAGAAGUGAGAAUGCCGGUAUGAGUAGCGAAAAGACAAGUGAGAAUCUUGUCCACCGAAAGCCUAAGGAUUUCUGAGGAAGGAUCGUCCGCUCAGAGUUAGUCGGGCCCUAAGCCGAGGCGAAAAGCGUAGGCGAUGGACAACUGGUAAAAAGUCCAGUACCACCUGGAAUCGAUUGAGCGAGGGAGUGACACAGGAGGGUAGGCAAGCGCGAGGAUGGAAAUUCGCGUCUAAGCUUGUAGGGUGCAUCACAGGCAAAUCCGUGAUGCUAAAACCUGAGGAGUGAUGGGCAGCUGUUAGAGAUAAUGGCGAAAUUGCUGAUCCCAGACUGUCAAGAAAAGCUUCUAGUGAGAGACCAGGUGCCCGUACCGUAAACCGACACAGGUAGGCGGGGAGAGAAUCCUAAGGUGCGCGGGAGAACCCUCGUUAAGGAACUCGGCAAAAUGUCCCCGUAACUUCGGGAAAAGGGGAGCUUGUAAACCGUGUAGAUCAGAAGCGAACGAAGCGGGAAUGAGUUGCAAAAAAGAGGCCCAAGCGACUGUUUACCACAAACACAGGUGCCUGCUAAAGCGAAAGCUGACGUAUAGGUGCUGACACCUGCCCGGUGCCGGAAGGUUAAGAGGAGAGCUUAGAGCAAUCGAAGGUUUGAAUUGAAGCCCCGGUAAACGGCGGCCGUAACUAUAACGGUCCUAAGGUAGCGAAAUUCCUUGUCGGGUAAGUUCCGACCCGCACGAAAGGUGUAACGACUUGGGCACUGUCUCAACGAGGGACCCGGUGAAAUUGAAAUACCUGUGAAGAUGCAGGUUACCCGCGACUGGACAGAAAGACCCCAUGGAGCUUUACUGCAACCUGACAUUGAGUUUUGGUAAAUGAUGUACAGGAUAGGUGGGAGACUAGGAAGUGCGGACGCAAGUCUGUAUGGAGUCGAUGUUGGGAUACCACCCUUUAUUUACUGGAGUUCUAACUCAAGGAGUAACGAAACUGAGGACAGUGUCAGGCGGGCAGUUUGACUGGGGCGGUCGCCUCCGAAAGAGUAACGGAGGCGCCCAAAGGUUCCCUCAGCGCGGCUGGAAAUCGCGCGAAGAGUGUAAAGGCAGAAGGGAGCUUGACUGCAAGACAGACAAGUCGAGCAGGGACGAAAGUCGGGCUUAGUGAUCCGGUGGUACCGAGUGGAAGGGCCAUCGCUCAACGGAUAAAAGCUACCCUGGGGAUAACAGGCUAAUCUCUCCCAAGAGUCCAUAUCGACGGGGAGGUUUGGCACCUCGAUGUCGGCUCAUCACAUCCUGGGGCUGAAGUAGGUCCCAAGGGUUGGGCUGUUCGCCCAUUAAAGUGGUACGUGAGCUGGGUUCAGAACGUCGUGAGACAGUUCGGUCCCUAUCCAUCGCGGGCGUAAGAGACUUGAAGGGAACUGCUCCUAGUACGAGAGGACCGGAGUGGACGGACCGCUGGUGUACCAGUUAUCCCGCCAGGGGUAGAGCUGGGUAGCUACGUCCGGAAAGGAUAAACGCUGAAAGCAUCUAAGCGUGAAACCAGCCUUAAGAUGAGGUCUGUCAUUCGAAAGAAGUAAGGCCCCUUGCAGAAGACAAGGUAGAUAGGCCAGGAGUGGAAGUGGAGCAAUUCAUGGAGCGGACUGGUACUAAUAGGCCGAGGACUUGACU
rnacentral:rRNA from 1 species